rnacentral:rRNA from 1 species
AGCAGCCGCGGUAAUUCCAGCUCCAAUAGCGUAUAUUAAAGUUGUUGCAGUUAAAAAGCUCGUAGUUGAAUUUCGGGGUUAGUAGGUUGGUCAUGCCUCUGGUAUGUACUGGUCUCACUGAUUCCUCCUUCCUGAUGAACCUUAAUGCCAUUAAUUUGGUGUUUUGGGGAAUUUGGACUGUUACUUUGAAAAAAUUAGAGUGUUUAAAGCAAGCUAACGCUUGAAUACAUUAGCAUGGAAUAAUGAAAUAGGACGUUCGAUCCCAUUUUGUUGGUUUCUAGGAUUGACGUAAUGAUUAAUAGGGAUAGUUGGGGGCAUUAGUAUUCAAUUGUCAGAGGUGAAAUUCUUGGAUUUAUUGAAGACUAACUACUGCGAAAGCAUUUGCCAAGGAUGUUUUCAUUAAUCAAGAACGAAAGUUAGGGGAUCGAAGACGAUCAGAUACCGUCGUAGUCUUAACCAUAAACUAUGCCG